CCUACGGGUGGCAGCAGUAAGGAAUAUUGGUCAAUGGACGCAAGUCUGAACCAGCCAUGCCGCGUGGAGGAUGAAGGUCCUCUGGAUUGUAAACUUCUUUUAUUUGGGAAGAAACUCCCGAUUUCCAUCGGGAUUGACGGUACCAGAUGAAUAAGCACCGGCUAACUCCGUGCCAGCAGCCGCGGUAAUACGGAGGGUGCAAGCGUUAUCCGGAUUCACUGGGUUUAAAGGGUGCGUUAGUGGGCUGGUAAACUCUCCGGGCUUAACCCGGAAACUGCCAUUGAUGCUAUUUGUCAUGAAUACUCUGGAGGUGAGCGGAAUAUGUCAUGUAGCGGUGAAAUGCUUAGAUAUGACAUAGAACGCGCAUUGCGAAGGCAGCUCACUACGGAAAUAUUGACGCUGAGGCACGAAAGCGUGGGGAUCAAACAGGAUUAGAUACCCUUGUAGUC
rnacentral:rRNA from 1 species